rnacentral:rRNA from 1 species
UCUAGCCUACGGGACGCAGCAGUGGGGAAUAUUGGGCAAUGGGCGCAAGCCUGACCCAGCAACGCCGCGUGAAGGAAGAAGGCUUUCGGGUUGUAAACUUCUUUUCUCAGGGACAAAGAAAGUGACGGUACCUGAGGAAUAAGCCACGGCUAACUACGUGCCAGCAGCCGCGGUAAUACGUAGGUGGCAAGCGUUAUCCGGAUUUACUGGGUGUAAAGGGCGUGUAGGCGGGAGUGCAAGUCAGAUGUGAAAACCACGGGCUCAACCUGUGGCCUGCAUUUGAAACUGUACUUCUUGAGUACUGG